UACGUAGGGUGCGAGCGUUAAUCGGAAUUACUGGGCGUAAAGCGUGCGCAGGCGGCUUUGCUAGACAGAUGUGAAAUCCCCGGGCUCAACCUGGGAACUGCAUUUGUGACUGCAAGGCUAGAGUACGGCAGAGGGGGAUGGAAUUCCGCGUGUAGCAGUGAAAUGCGUAGAUAUGCGGAGGAACACCAAUGGCGAAGGCAAUCCCCUGGGCCUGUACUGACGCUCAUGCACGAAAGCGUGGGGAGCAAACAGG
rnacentral:rRNA from 1 species